rnacentral:rRNA from 1 species
AGGGUUCGAUUCUGGCUCAGGACGAACGCUGGCGGCGUGCUUAACACAUGCAAGUCGAACGGGGCACCCUUGACUGAGGCUUCGGCCAAAUGAUAGGAAUGCUUAGUGGCGGACUGGUGAGUAACGCGUGAGGAACCUGCCUUCCAGGGGGGGACAACAGUUGGAAACGACUGCUAAUACCGCAUGAUAUAUCGAAAGGGCAUCCUUUUGAUAUCAAAGAUUUUAUCGCUGGAAGAUGGCCUCGCGUCUGAUUAGCUAGAUGGUGGGGUAACGGCCCACCAUGGCGACGAUCAGUAGCCGGACUGAGAGGUUGACCGGCCACAUUGGGACUGAGAUACGGCCCAG